rnacentral:rRNA from 1 species
GAUGAACGCUGGCGGCGUGCCUAAUACAUGCAAGUAGAGCGAACGGGCGAGAACUUUGUUCCCUGGAUGAUUGCCGCGCAGGGGUGUGUAACAUGUGGAAAAUGUACGUAAAAGAGGGAGAAAUAUUGGGGAAACUGGAGAUAACCGCGGAUGAGAUUAUGAUCCAUAUGGUUUACAAGAGAAAUACGGUUGUGUUGCUACCAAUUGAUGCUUCGUUGUUGUAUUAGCUAGUUGGUAAGGUAACGGCUUACCAAGGCAAUGAAGAAUAGCCGACCUAAGAGGUGGAUCGGCAACACGGGAACUGAGACACGGUCCAGACUCCUACGGAAGGCAGCAGAAGGGAAUCUUGCGAAAUGGGCGAAGGCCUGACGGAGCAACGCGGCGUAAGUGAUAAGGGUCUUCGGAUCGAAAACCUCUGUUAUUGGGGAGGACCAGUUGUGUAGGUGACUGUGCACAUCGUGACGGUACCUAAUCAGAAAGCGACGGCUAACUACGUG